rnacentral:rRNA from 1 species
CUCCCAAACCCCUGUGAACAUACCUUAAUGUUGCCUCGGCGGAUCAGCCCGCUCCCCGUAAAACGGGACGGCCCGCCAGAGGACCCAAACUCUAAUGUUUCUUAUUGUAACUUCUGAGUAAAACAAACAAAUAAAUCAAAACUUUCAACAACGGAUCUCUUGGUUCUGGCAUCGAUGAAGAACGCAGCAAAAUGCGAUAAGUAAUGUGAAUUGCAGAAUUCAGUGAAUCAUCGAAUCUUUGAACGCACAUUGCGCCCGCUGGUAUUCCGGCGGGCAUGCCUGUUCGAGCGUCAUUUCAACCCUCAAGCCCCCGGGUUUGGUGUUGGGGAUCGGCUCUGCCUCACGGCGGUGCCGCCCCCGAAAUACAUUGGCGGUCUCGCUGCAGCCUCCAUUGCGUAGUAGCUAACACCUCGCAACUGGAACGCGGCGCGGCCAUGCCGUAAAACCCCAACUUCUGAAUGUUGACCUCGGAUCAGGUAGGAAUACCCGCUGAACUUAAGCAUAUCAAUAAGCGGAGGA